rnacentral:rRNA from 1 species
UAGGGAAUAUUGGACAAUGGGGGCAACCCUGAUCCAGCCAUGCCGCGUGAGUGAAGAAGGCCCUCGGGUUGUAAAGCUCUUUUGUCCGGAAAGAAAAGCAUUCGGUGAAUACCCGGAUGUUCUGACGGUACCGGAAGAAUAAGCACCGGCUAACUUCGUGCCAGCAGCCGCGGUAAUACGAAGGGUGCAAGCGUUACUCGGAAUUACUGGGCGUAAAGCGUGCGUAGGUGGUUGUUUAAGUCUGAUGUGAAAGCCCUGUGCUCGACCUGGGAAUGGGAUUGGAAACUGGGCAGCUAGAGUGCGGUAGAGGGUAGUGGAAUUCCCGGUGUAGCAGUGAAAUGCGUAGAGAUCGGGAGGAACAUCUGUGGCGAAGGCGACUGCCUGGACCAGCACUGACACUGAGGCACGAAAGCGUGGGGAGCAAACA